CAAUAGCGUAUACUAAAGUUGUUGCAGUUAAAAAGCUCGUAGUUGGAUUUCUGGUCGAAGCAGCCGCUCGGCUUCUAGUAAGUUUGUAGCAGGCGCUUCGUCCAUUUUUGUAAAGACUAUGUCUGUCAUUAAGUUGGUGGGCAUAGGACUUGCAUCAUUUACUGUGAGCAAAAUAGAGUGUUCAAAGCAGGCUUAGGCCAUGAAUAUCUUAGCAUGGAAUAAUAAGAUAAGACCUUGGUCUAUUUUGUUGGUUAGCAUUCCGAGGUAAUGAUUAAUAGGGAUAGUUGGGGGUAUUCGUAUUCAAUUGUCAGAGGUGAAAUUCUUGGAUUUAUUGAAGACGAACUACUGCGAAAGCAUUUGCCAAGGAUGUUUUCAUUGA
rnacentral:rRNA from 1 species